UUCACACAGUAACACAAACAGCUAUGCACAAUACUGAUUCCAUGACAAUUUUUGGUUUUAGUGACCUAUUUAAACAAGAAAACAUUUGAUCCAGUUUAAAUUGCCACCUGUUGGUAAAAGUGGUGCAACCAUGAGGAAAGUUAUUGUACCACAAGUUUCAGGUUCUAAAGUAAGCCAUCAAGGUGUUAUUUAACAAAAAGGGUAUCAACGAAUUUUAUGCUGUAAGUCUGCGUAAGUAUGCAGUAAGGAAACAUGGGCCACAUAUAGCUCAGAUUAUUACGUUUUGUCUCAAGUAGACUGGACGACUAAAACAAAAUCUUAAAGGUGUAAAAUUCUUCAAAAGAAAAAAUCUGGUAGUUCAGAAUGUAAAUUUUUCGUUUAUUUAAAGAAAAUAUCAUUUUGGUUUUUUGUUUGGUUUUUUUGUACUUUGAAAAAUGUUUUUUUUCUUUUGAUAGAACAUUGUGUAAAAACAGGAAUUUUUUGUAAUUUAAUUGUUCAUCUAUUACUUGACUUCUUUGGUGUAGUAUCAAAGGCAAUGGGGAGCUGAUCACCCAUGGCAGGGUGAGCUGGUGAGCAGGCAGGUGGUGAAUGCAGGAUGAUCCAGGUAGAAUGUGAGUACUGACCAAGGUGCAGACAGACUGUAGAGGAUAAAUUUUAGAUGGGUCAGAUGGGCACUAUUCCUCAAAUAAACCACACUCAUCGACUCAUACUGGACUCAUUUUACAGAAUUUUGCAGCUUCAUCCAGAGUAAGUGAUUGUGGACUCACCACAGUCAUAAUUAUGCAUUAAACUGUGAUCUGACAGCCUACAUUGACUACAUGAAUGGUCAGAGUUGUUGAGACGACUCAGGGGUAAACACAUAGUGCAAAAUAUUUUAAGUAUUUUAUCCCUGAAUAACUGUAAAGUGCUGAUAUAAUUUGAAUAAGAAUAAAAUCUAGUAUGUUAAAGAAGAUUAUUAUACACACAUAGUAGUAGAAACACGUCGGGCUGGCUUUUAGGCCAGUCUGUGGUACAGCGAGUGAACAGGAAGAAAGAAAUCAGCAGAAUCAGGCUCAGACAAGGGGAGCCAUAUACCAUUCCAUCGUAAAAUGUAAAAUCUAUUCAUGUUAAAUGUAGCAUUUCUAUGAAAAGGGCAUUUACUUUAAUCAUACAACAGUGUGACCAACCCUUCACUUCCAGGAAAUUAUUCUGGGAUAUUGUUUUCUUGAUCAAAUCCAGUUUUAUUAUCUAUUUGUUUUAGUGCACCACUUCUAUCUGUAGGUAGGCCUACUCUUUCAAGAAGAUCAAAUGUUUGCUUGUCAGCAUUUUUUAUGAGAUGUACUGACUUUUUCAAAAGAAUGUACAAAGCACACGCCAGGGCUGUCAUUUAGAAAUGGCAUUCAAACAGUGACACUGAAAGGAUGUUUGUAUCCGUCAUCUGUAUUUACUUUAUAUAUUUAUUCUGCGCGGUGUUACAUGAAGCAGAAUUUGCAUAUCUCAUUAUUAAAAGUAAAGUCACAUCAUUAAAUACAUGUUGCUGUAA